rnacentral:rRNA from 1 species
UACGGAGGGGACUAGCGUUGUUCGGAAUUACUGGGCUUAAAGCGCACGUAGGCGGUGUCGUAAGUGUCAGGUGAAAUCCCACGGCUCACCCGUGGAACUGCCUGGCAUACUGCGAUGCUCGAGUGUGGUAGGGGAGAGCGGAACUCCUGGUGGAGCGGUGAAAUGCGUAGAUAUCAGGAGGAACACCGGUGGCGAAGGCGGCUCUCUGGUCCACAACUGACGCUGAGGUGCGAAAGCUAGGGGAGCAAACGGG